rnacentral:lncRNA from 1 species
GUGUCACAUGGGAUGAGGACUUUGAGCACGCACUGCCAAUAACUACACAGGGAGAGUGCACGAGGCCAAGCCCCUUCGUCCUUGCUGCCAUCACAAGAGAAGGUAUGUAGCCAUGGUAUAUUUUGGGCAUUCGGAUGGUAUUUGGAGAAACCCUGAUAUGUUUCUUUGGAACUGGAGCAUCUCCCUGGAGAAGGAGUCACCUCACAGAACCCAGGAAAGCCUACAGUACCUUCAAGAGCAGAAACGUGUGUGAUAUGUCCAGUGAAGGCUUAUUCUACACUGGUAGGAUUGGUUUGAAGUUUGGGUGAGGGAGAAACAUUGAUGCUGAAGAAAUUAAAAAUGAAAGGCUCUAUGCCCAGACACCUGCUACAUUAAUAGACUCAGACUAUAAGGUUAAUGGGUUUGAACUUUAUUCAACACUAGGAAGUCUCGGAAAUGUGUGCGAGGGAUAUAGCUAAUGCCUUCAUUCAUGAGGUCCACCUCAGCUCGUUCCUAUACAAGAGCAUGGAGGCAUACCUUACCUUUUUAGCACCCACUGAGCUGACAGUGAGUUUUCCUAGAUUCAAGUCACCUUUGUUAACAACCCUGGUGGGCCCUUUAAUCGUACAACAUUGUGAAGUCAUCAAA